GUGUACGUACACGUGACACGCGGUCGACAUUUUCCGGUUUGUCACUCGCAGUGGGUAUUCCUAGAGACCGGAUCUGUACAACUUUACUGACUUCUUCCACGUCUCCGCUGCACGGCUAAACUACUAGUUAUUGGAGUCGUGGCCUUCGGACGACCUCCGUCUCUAUGUACAAUGGAGGAAUCACCCGGAGGCAAAUAUAUAAAUAUACCGUUCAAGAUGAAACGCCGUAGCAAUAUAUGCACACGUAGAAACACGAGGAUUCCGUUUCGAGCACAAACGGAGAAUCGUGAUUCGGCGGUGCGUAAAAUGCUUCAACAGCUGCAACGAGCCGGUCGCUAGGAGGCGCUGGAGGUGG